rnacentral:rRNA from 1 species
GUGCCAGCCGCUGCGGUAAUACGGAGGGUGCAAGCGUUAAUCGGAAUUACUGGGCGUAAAGCGCACGCAGGCGGUCUGUCAAGUCGGAUGUGAAAUCCCCGGGCUCAACCCGGGAACUGCAUUCGAAACUGGCAGGCUUGAGUCUCGUAGAGGGGGGUAGAACUCCAGGUGUAGCGGUGAAAUGCGUAGAGAUCUGGAGGAAUACCGGUGGCGAAGGCGGCCCCCUGGACGAAGACUGACGCUCAGGUGCGAAAGCGUGGGGAGCAAACAGGAUUAGAUACCCUGGUAGUCCACGCCGUAAACGAUGUCGAUUUGGAGGUUGUGCCCUUGAGGCGUGGCUUCCGGAGCUAACGCGUUAAAUCGACCGCCUGGGGAGUACGGCCGCAAGGUUAAAACUCAAAUGAAUUGACGGGGCCCGCACAAGCGGUGGAGCAUGUGGUUUAAUUCGAUGCAACGCGAAGAACCUUACCUGGUCUUGACAUCCACAGAACUUAGCAGAGAUGC